rnacentral:rRNA from 1 species
UACGGGGGGGGCAAGCGUUGUUCGGAAUUACUGGGCGUAAAGGGCUCGUAGGCGGCCAACUAAGUCAGACGUGAAAUCCCUCGGCUUAACCGGGGAACUGCGUCUGAUACUGGAUGGCUUGAGUUUGGGAGAGGGAUGCGGAAUUCCAGGUGUAGCGGUGAAAUGCGUAGAUAUCGGAGGAACACCGGUGGCGAAGGGCGGCGAUCCUGGGACCCAACACUGACACUGAGGAGCGAAAGCCAGGGGAGCAAACCGGG